rnacentral:lncRNA from 1 species
UGAACAUUGCCCUCAAACGUACGAGGCUGAGAAGUCCCAUACCGGAUGAGGUUGGAAUUUUAUAAGUGUCGUGCAUACCGAACGAGGUAUUGAGGUAUUUUUAGUUGUAGUGCCAAUUACCGAACAGAGUAUGAGGACGGUUGAUCUAAUUACAAAGAAAGUGUAUGUAUCCAUGUGUAGCGGGGAUCCUUAUGGAACCCCAGCAACACCGAUAAGGAGAGGUAAAAUGAUAAAGUAGCGAUGGACAUAGUAAGAAAUUC